rnacentral:lncRNA from 1 species
UUAUGAUACACAACUCAUUCAAUGGCAAAAAAAAGCGCUUAAAUGAUCACAACAACGGGAGUAGUAGCUUUGUAUGGUUCGCAACUAGUUUGUCUGAGACUAUAAGAAGUUUUUCACUAAUUUUCUUUGUUGUGGUGAACUUCAUACUUUAAUUACUCACACACACAAUAUCAAUAUAAAAGUUCAUAUAAUCUUUUAAAAAUAUUUAUAACUGCUUCCAAAGGCAAGAAUACUUCAGCAUUCCCCUGAACAGUCUAGGAGUUAAAUCAUCAUUACACCGUAACUUGGCUCAUACGAAACAAAUCCACCAGAAAGAGCUGAGAAACUACAAUCAAAGCAAUAGUCGAUACUGUGUGUGAUCAAGGUCACAAAUGGGCAAACAUUCUUCUCAAGAUUUCUCAAAUCUUCUUCAACGUGAUGGAUAAGUAGGUUGCUAUCUAUACUUCUUGUCUAGGCUACACUAAGUGUUGCCAGGUGCAAUUUGACAUUUCCUUUGGUAAGUUUGACAUUUUUGUAGCAUAAUCGUACCAGAAUGUUUUGACGUACGACCAUCAUUUGUGUUGUUUACAGUGACUUGAAAAAAUUAAUUUGCCAUAAAAUAGAAUUAAGACGUAAACAUUUUCGUGCGAUCAUUUUUCACAACUUUCGACGCGGAUUAUCAGGACAAGAGUGCAUUGCUGAACUUAAAUCUUGGGAUGGCGAUAAAGCACCAUCCUAUAGCACUGUGAAAAACUGGUUUAAUGAAUUCAAUCGUGGCCGACGCUAGCUCAAAGACAAAUUCCGUGAAGGUCGCCCAAAAUGUUUGCCUGAAGUCUUCGGAGAAAUCCGAACAAGACACGACGAACCAUUGUUCACCAUGACAAGGCGAGCUCUCACACAUCGGCUCAAGCCAGGGCCUUUUUGACCGGCCCAAACGUCGAAUUGAUGGUUUAUCCGUCGUACAGCCCUGAUUUUGCACUCAAUGACUUCUUUUUAUUCCCGCACAUCAAGAAAAAAAAUGCGUGGUCAACUAUUUUCUUCGCCAAAUACUGUUGAAGCAUUUAAUAACCAUAUUUUGGAGGUGUCUCAACCGGAGUGGAAAAAGAGCUUUGACAAUAGGUUUGAGCACACAUGCAAAAGUGUAUUAAUCAUGCUGGAGAAUACUUUGAAAAACAAUAAAACCAUUUUUGAUGAUAAAUAUGCGUAUUUUCAUUAUUAGACCAGAAAUAUGUAUACCAGCCUACGUAAAAAUUUGUUUCCUCAACUCGACAGCAUCUGAUUGGAAGGCAGAAAAAGAUUGUCUAAAAAAUCAGCUGAAAUCUAGAAAGGAAAAAACGGUUCGAACUUCUAAUUUUAUCGAAAAUGUCUCCAAAUAGUUCACAGAGAAAAUAAUUUGAUUGGCUUUCACCAUAUAGUCCGCUGUCUCCAUAAAGUCCAGCUACCCUGAUCGCAGCCGCAGCUUGAUAUUCUUGCUUUUUCCGUUAGGAUUCCGAGGGCAUAUCGGUCUUCAUGGAAAUAUGCUGGAGACAAAAGACACUACUACCGCACAUUUUUAGAUAAAAAUUUAAAAAUUUUUCUCAGUUUAA